UUGAAAAGAGGGAGUUCACACAUGCGCAGUGGCUGUAGCAGCACUUUGCUUCUCCUAACCGUCACUGCUGCACCUGGCGCGAAAACCGGAGAACAAUGGAGCUGUCAACGGAGGAGCUGCUCCAGAAGUUAUCGGAUUCAGGGAUUAUACUACUGACUGAAGAAGAGACACAGAGAUUUAGAGUAUACCUGGCAUCAGUCACUUAAAUGCAAAUUCAAAGCGGAGCGUGCCCAUUUGAUUUGUGAAGACGAAGGGAAAAGGAGUAAAGAGAAGUUCGGUCACAAGAGAGUCUACAGAAGCGGCAAGAGCCUGUUGCAGAUUUGUGUCACGAUUGUGCGAUGAGGUUGACCGGAUCCAUCCAUCUACGGUCAACGUGUACAGACGCUGGAAAGAGGGAUUCACUGGCAUAGUGCCUAAGGUGGUCAAGCUGGUGGAAAGAAAAUCCGCGUUAGCCAAGAUGUACACAGAAGCAAGGGAGGAAAUCCUGACUCAGGAUCUACCAGGUUUAUGUGAGCAUUUGCUUCUAUCCUUCUCCAUCUUCACCAACUCUGUCUGCCUCAAAGCUCAGCUGCUCCAGGUCCUCCUCAGAGCUACAGGCGCUGUGCUGCAUCCGCUGGCAGAAAAUCCUGCGCCUUGAUUGGGUGCUGAGGUCUAGUAGGUCAAAAGAGUCAGAGGAGAAGAGGCUAUCCUCGCUCACCACACUGGAGGGGCGGCUGUGGCGCUCCUCGGCGCCUCCUGUAGCCUGGAGGAGCUGCUGCAGAGCCUCAGGGAAUAUUGUGUGGGCUGAGCGGUGGUCAUUAGGAAGAUCCAGACUGCGAGAGAACUUGCCGUUACGUUUCAGAAUCCCCUUCCUCCUUCUUACCGCCUCUGUGUGCAUGGUAGGGCUGUCUUCUGCCGCUGGGAGACAAGUGUGCGGUUUGUUGGAGCACAAAUCAGCUGCAUCACCCCCCUCUUUAACUUCUGAUCCAGGAUUCCUUCUGUCUGAAGAUGAGCCAUAACCCGACUCCCCUCCAUACAAGUUCUUCAGUAUUCCCUUCUUGGGCAUUUUGGAUGAGGGCUGACGGAAUGUAGAGGGAGAUGGAAGGCUGGUGGACAGGACAUCAGCGUGUGUGUGGGUAAGUGUAUGUGUUCGAAAAGGCUGGGGAGCAGCGUUACACGAUUGGGAGGAAGAGUUUUCUUUGGGAGGGCUAUGAAAGACUGAGUCAAAACUCCUGUGGGGUUUCAGAAUACCUUUGGGUUUCUUUCUUUCAAUGGUGGAAGUGGAGGAAAUCGCAGCAGAGGAGGCACCACCACAAGCUCCCAGUGCGGUCUGGGGAAUUGUAUUCUCCUUGCGUGACUUCCUCAGACUUGACAUUCCUCCAUGUGCCCUUCCUCCUCCGCCUCCUCCUCCUCCUGCAUGAUCGCUCUUCAGAGGUAAGCUGAAGUAAAAGGGGUGGGGAGAGAGCUGGGCUGGACGGGAGGAGUCCGAGGAUAGGCACCCUGGGUCAACGGUCAUGUUGCUGGUAGCUGCGACCCGGUUCUGCCAGUCGAUGUAGCGAGCCAGCAGGGGGGAGGGGCAUUCUUGGUGUGGAGAUGAAGGGCAGUCACACACACUCUCUUCAAAACCCCAGUUCACCCACCAGUGGUUGGCCACGUCCUCUAUCGUUGCCCUCUCGUCCACACGCACUGUCAACAACCAGUCGAUAAGAGCACAGGCGUCUGGAGGGAACAGAGUCAACAGUUAUUUAUAGCAGCUAAACUGACUAAAACAUUGUAAUUAACAGGACACUAAUAAGAACAUGUAGACGUGGACAUUGUAAAGGGUUACCUGAGGGGGGGUUGGGUCUGCGGUAGCGACCUUGACUGAUCUGCUCUGUGAGUGUGGUGUGGCUGGCCCCAUCGAAUGGCAUGCUGCUGUACACCAGGGCAUACAGCAACACCCCCAGCGCCCAGCAGUCCACCUAGCAUACAAAGACACGCAUAAUGAGGAACAUGCCUUGCCAACUCAUAACAUUCCGGCUUUUUUUUAAUGCAAUGAGUAAUUACAUUACAGCGGGACAAUCUGAAAAUGUGCCCCACGU